rnacentral:rRNA from 1 species
UACGGAGGGGGCUAGCGUUGUUCGGAAUUACUGGGCGUAAAGCGCACGUAGGCGGACUGGAAAGUCAGGGGUGAAAUCCCGGGGCUCAACCCCGGAACUGGCUUUGAAACUCCCAGUCUUGAGGUCGAGAGAGGUGAGUGGAAUUCCGAGUGUAGAGGUGAAAUUCGUAGAUAUUCGGAGGAACACCAGUGGGGAAGGCGGCUCACUGGCUCGAUUCUGACGCUGCGGUGCGAAAGCGUGGGGAGCAAACAGG